rnacentral:lncRNA from 1 species
CCCGCGCGGAGGUCGCGGCCGUUCCCGCUCGGUGCCGCCGCCGCGAUGUCGUGCCCGGCUCCGGAGCCCGACAGCGGGGCAGAGUCCCUCUCCUCGGAUGAAAAAGAGGUGACACCCAAUGGCUUGGAGGGGUCGGGAUCGGGAUCGGCCGAGGAGCACCCGGAGGGAGAAGCCAGCUCUGAAGACAGCUCCAGCAGCAGCUCGGAAGAGGAGUCAGAUGAAGAACAGGAGGAGAAGGAAUCCCCACCUUACUGCAAUGAGUCAGGAGGGAGCUGCUUGCUGUCCUGUGAGCACUGCAGGAAUGAAAAUGACCAGAAGGAGCAAGUGACCCCCAGGAGACUCGCUGGAGGACAAUUUAUGUAUGGAUUUUUGUAAUGUAAUGGCUUUGAGUUUGCAUUGUUCUCAUCAGGGUGCUUCAGUCUUUGGUUGAAGUGGGCAAACAGCUCAUUUGCUGCACAAACACGUUUGGAUUUAUACUGGAAGGGGCACACAAAUCCUUAAAAAUCACAGUUUAGAGCCUGUGCUGCCUCCAGAUCCCAGUCCAGGAGAGCUCCUGGGAGGGUUUUUCAGGCUGCUGCCUGGUCUGGGAUGACCUGCAGGCCCAUUUUUAUGUGCUGCUUUCAUCCUGCCCUGCUUCUCCCUCCCCUUUAACCCUGCAUUUUCCCUGGGAUGCAGCACUGCCCAUCCUCUGUCUGCCCUGGCGUGGUCCCUGUGGGAUGUCCCUGGCUGCUCUCCCUGCUGGGUUGAUGUGGGAUGUGACCCCAGCCCCGUGUGGCAGCAGCUCCUGGCACAGGAAGUUUUAUGCAAAAUGUUCCUUUCAUGCAAAACGUUCCUUUCCAGCUGAUUUGCUGAGGGCUGGGCCAUGGUUAAUGAAAAUACAACCCCCAAAUGAUCUGCUGUGAGAUCAGGAGCAGAGCAGAGCAGGCCCGAGCUUAAUAACAAAGGAGAGACUUUAUUAAAUUACUACUCCCAUAAAAGGGAAAAGAAAGAAAAAAAAAAAACCAAACACCACUAAAUCCAAAAUGGAAACCUUCCAAACCAUUCCUCCUCCCCCCCACCCAAUUCCAACAAACCACAGUGAGACACAACUUGGACCCCCAGUCAGGUUCCCACCCUUCAGAUAAUCAAUACUCAGCCCCUCCUGUGCCACAGACCCCCCAAAAAACACAGCUGCCACUUUGAUGCUUCAGAUAAUCAAUACUCAGCCCCUCCUGUGCCACAGACCCCCCAAAAAACACAGCUGCCACUUUGAUGCUCCUGCCCCUCUCACCCCCAAAUUAUCAGGCUAGCCCAGAGAUACGAGGCCUUGAGGGGAGGAGUGUCAGGAGAGGUUCAGACGAGGCUUUAUCCCCAGUGUGGUUGUCCAGAUUCUUUA